rfam:Brachypodium distachyon strain Bd21 chromosome 3, whole genome shotgun sequence.
UUACUACUUCCUCAGUCCAACAAAGGAUGUCUCAAUUUUGACUAAAUUUGAUUGCAUCUAAAUACAUCUAAAUUUUGAUAAACUUGAGACAUCCUUUGUUGGACGGAGGAAGUACAGA